rnacentral:lncRNA from 1 species
AACCCAUCAUCAUGUACUCACGACACCUCGUGCCCACAUCUCGAAUCACAACCGCACGGACAACUCACGUGCCAAUAUCUCAAUCCGUGCGGCAUGAUCACAGGCUCACAAUCACAAUCCGCCCGGCAUGGUCACAGGCUCACAAUCACAACCCGUCCGACAUGGUCACAGGAUCACAAUCACAAUACGCCCGGCAUGGUCACAGGCUCACAAUCACAAUCUGUCCGGCAUGGUCACAUGCUCAAUAUCAAUAUGGAAAGAGAUAAAACAAGAACACAUGGGCAUGAUCAAUAAUGCUCAAUAUCAACAUGGAAAGAGAUAAAACAAGAACACAUGGGCAUGAUCAAUAAACGUCAAAGUUUCAUACUUUUGAGCUAGUAUAGGUGGCAUGCUACAGUGUAUGCUUGUGCGAGUGUACUACUGUAGCCCAAGUUAACAAGUAAUAUUAAAGACAUCGAAUAGCUCAUUGAAACAACAAAGCAAGUCACGUAAGGUGUAUGACAAACACAAGGAAAAGUACACCAUCACACGAAAAUCUCCUACACAAUGUCUCCAACCAUCACACAUCAUCCCUGACAUUUGCCACCCUUAUCUCUCCGAUAGCCAUCGCCCUGACAUUAUCAUUAGUCACACCCUUAUCUCUCCUAUAGCCACCAUCACUCCGUAUAAUAGCCAUCCUUAUCGCUCCGCCCUGACAUUAUCAUUAGCCACCCUUACACCCCGCAUAACAAUAACGGUGAAAUGCCACUCUUAUACUCCGCAUAAUAACAACCAAACCACACAACAAUUCACACGUGCUAUCAUCACAACAACACGAAAUAUCAACUCGUAUCACAAGUGCCCGUAGGCCACAACCUUUCUAAAAGUUCAACGAUAUCAAUAUUUUCACAAUAAAUAGUCCACCGCUCAGCACAACGUAUAUAGAAUCUCAAUAACAACUAAAUGAACGGAAAAGUAACUCAACAAAGAACAACAUCCCCUUUAAACACAACUUCAAUUAGAAUAGAUUAAUGACUAUUGAUAACUUCAAUUCCAAUUAAUUGUUUAACGUUAACCUCGAUAGUGAAAGUACUUCCAUGAAAUGACAAACUUCAGACUCUAGUGUAUGAAUUAGGCUAACAAUGAAGGAGAUGGCACGAACUAGUACUACGUAUAAAUGCAUGAGAAUAAUCCGGCAACAAAGGAUAUCAUGUGACGACAAUUAAAGGAUAUCAUGUGACGACAAUUUCAACUAAGAGUAGCUCCACAAUAAAAUAAAUCACAUAAUGACACAAAGUGAUGACAACUCCAAAUAAAGCAUAUAAGAGCAAACUCGACAAGUAAGGAAUAUGACAUGCAACGACAACUUCAAAUAAAGCAUGUGAUAGUAGACAUGACGAAUAAAAUAUAUAAAAUGUGCUAACAAUUCCAAAUAAGUACAUAAAAGCUGCCUAAGAGUCUAGACCAGUCAAUUUCCACAUAUAAGCCAGAGUACGUACUCGUCACCUCGCGUACACGGCUUUCACAUGAUACAAAUAGCACAAAGGACUCAAAUCCUAAGGGGUAGUUCCCCCACACAAAGUUAGGCAAGAUACUUACCUCAAAGAAGCUAGACCGAUACUCUAAAAUGACCUUCUCAUAUGA